rnacentral:rRNA from 1 species
UACGUAGGUGACAAGCGUUGUCCGGAUUUACUGGGCGUAAAGAGCGCGCAGGCGGUCGAUCAAGUCGAGUGUGAAAGCCCCCGGCUCAACUGGGGAGGGUCAUUCGAUACUGAUCGACUCGAAGGCAGGAGAGGGUAGUGGAAUUCCCGGUGUAGUGGUGAAAUGCGUAGAUAUCGGGAGGAACACCAGUGGCGAAGGCGGGUCUCUAGACCACUACUGACGCUGAGGCGCGAAAGCUAGGGGAGCAAACAGG